GACGGGUGAGUAACGGCUGGGAACCUGCCCUGACGAGGGGGAUAACCGUUGGAAACGACGGCUAAUACCGCAUAAUGUCUACGGACCAAAGGUGGCCUCUACAUGUAAGCUAUCGCGUUGGGAUGGGCCCAGUUAGGAUUAGCUAGUUGGUAAGGUAAUGGCUUACCAAGGCAACGAUCCUUAGCUGGUUUGAGAGGAUGAUCAGCCACACUGGGACUGAGACACGGCCCAGACUCCUACGGGAGGCAGCAGUGGGGAAUAUUGCACAAUGGGGGAGACCCUGAUGCAGCCAUGCCGCGUGUGUGAAGAAGGCCUUCGGGUUGUAAAGCACUUUCAGCAGUGAGGAAGGUCGUGUACUUAAUACGUGCACGGCUUGACGUUAGCUGCAGAAGAAGCACCGGCUAACUCCGUGCCAGCAGCCGCGGUAAUACGGAGGGUGCGAGCGUUAAUCGGAAUUACUGGGCGUAAAGCGCAUGCAGGCGGUUUGUUAAGUCAGAUGUGAAAGCCCGGGGCUCAACCUCGGAACCGCAUUUGAAACUGGCAGGCUAGAGUCUUGUAGAGGGGGGUAGAAUUUCAGGUGUAGCGGUGAAAUGCGUAGAGAUCUGAAGGAAUACCAGUGGCGAAGGCGGCCCCCUGGACAAAGACUGACGCUCAGAUGCGAAAGCGUGGGUAGCAAACAGGAUUAGAUACCCUGGUAGUCCACGCCGUAAACGCUGUCUACUUGGAGGUUGAGGUUUUAGACUUUGGCUUUCGGCGCUAACGCAUUAAGUAGACCGCCUGGGGAGUACGGCCGCAAGGUUAAAACUCAAAUGAAUUGACGGGGGCCCGCACAAGCGGUGGAGCAUGUGGUUUAAUUCGAUGCAACGCGAAGAACCUUACCUACUCUUGACAUCCAGCGAAGCCUUUAGAGAUAGAGGYGUGCCUUCGGGAGCGCUGAGACAGGUGCUGCAUGGCUGUCGUCAGCUCGUGUUGUGAAAUGUUGGGUUAAGUCCCGCAACGAGCGCAACCCUUAUCCUUGUUUGCCAGCACRUAAUGGUGGGAACUCCAGGGAGACUGCCGGUGAUAAACCGGAGGAAGGUGGGGACGACGUCAAGUCAUCAUGGCCCUUACGAGUAGGGCUACACACGUGCUACAAUGGCAGAUACAGAGGGCAGCGAGACAGCGAUGUUUAGCGAAUCCCUUAAAGUUUGUCGUAGUCCGGAUUGGAGUCUGCAACUCGACUCCAUGAAGUCGGAAUCGCUAGUAAUCGUGGAUCAGAAUGCCACGGUGAAUACGUUCCCGGGCCUUGUACACACCGCCCGUCACACCAUGGGAGUGGGCUGCACCAGAAGUAGAUAGCUUAACCUUCGGGAGGGCGUUUACCACGGUGUGGUUCAUGACUGGGGUGAAGUCGUAACAAGGUAGCCCUAGGGGAACCUGCGGCUGGUCCACCUCCUUAA
rnacentral:rRNA from 1 species